UACGAAGGGGGCUAGCGUUGCUCGGAAUGACUGGGCGUAAAGGGCGCGUAGGCGGUUUGUACAGUCAGGUGUGAAAUUCCCGGGCUCAACCUGGGGGCUGCACUUGAUACGUAUGGACUGGAGUGGGGAAGAGGGUCGUGGAAUUCCCAGUGUAGAGGUGAAAAUUCGUAGAUAUUGGGAAGAGCACCGGUGGCGAAGGCGGCGACCUGGUCCUUGACUGACGCUGGAGGCGACGAAAGCGUGGGGAGCAAACAGG
rnacentral:rRNA from 1 species